AUGGAUCAAGCCCAAGCCUUGUUCUUCUUGCAAUGGAUCGUUGGAAACGUGCCUGCACUAUUCACAGACCAUCUUCAUUAUAUUACCACUAAUGUCCCAUUAGGAAUUGGACCAUCAAUUGUGUUCCAAUCUAGGUUCAUUCGUCUGAUAUACCAUCACUUCUCGUUCUCAUUGCCGGAUCAUACGUAUUCGCUGUUUUCAGCACUUGCAAUAGCAAAAAAUCAUCUUGGGCAGGAUGACGUACGCGCAUUUAAUAUUCUCCUUCGACAAGCUUGGAAUGAUUUACUGAUGGACCAGAUUGUAGUAGUUGGUCAAAAUUGGCCUGAUCAAGCCGAACAAAAUCCGAUCUUUUAUGAAAUUAUGUGGUGGCAGAGCAGGCAGGCAGGGGUGGUACCUCCAAGGAGAGGAUAUACAGGUACACCUGAGUCAUUAUACAAUUUUGGAAGAAACAACAGAGUUCAUACACCUGAAAAAACAAAGGGGCCAAGGGGAGCUCUGCUAGGGGAGAUUCAGCAAGUGCCACCCCAUGGUGCAGGGCGUUGGCGAUGGAUGAUCAUUACUCCUGAGGGGGAAUGGGGCUGGGCGUGGCAGCCUCCUCAAGGGCAGUGGUUCUGGCCGACGGUUCCAGGUGAUACCCAGUGGCGAAUGACCAAGUGGCCAAAUGCUGCACCAGUGCUGCCUCUACUACCAUUAUCUGCCCAGGCUACACAGGACCAGAAAAUGGAUAAUCCAGAGAAUGUGGGCCAUAUGGUAGGGAAGGAGUUUGGGAUGUUCUUUGCUCAUGCCACGGCCUUUGUCCUCCUAUUCUUACAGUGUGGAACUCCAGAGUAUAUUGAUCAGCCUCAUCAGAGAUACGAAGAGGCAAUGGAUAGUUAA
rnacentral:rRNA from 1 species